rnacentral:piRNA from 1 species
UGGUUAUCCAAAGAGGCUGUUCC